UACGGAGGGUGCGAGCGUUGUCCGGAAUCACUGGGCGUAAAGGGCGCGUAGGCGGCGCGGAAAGUCAUCGGUGAAAGCUCGGGGCUCAACCCUGAGUCUGCCGGUGAUACUCCCGCGCUCGAGCUCACUAGAGGCAGAUGGAAUUCCGGGUGUAGCGGUGGAAUGCGUAGAGAUCCGGAAGAACACCGGUGGCGAAGGCGGUCUGCUGGGGUGAGGCUGACGCUGAUGCGCGACAGCGUGGGGAGCAAACAGG
rnacentral:rRNA from 1 species